GAUGAACGCUGGCGGCGUGCCUAAUACAUGCAAGUCGAGCGAAUGGAUUAAGAGCUUGCUCUUAUGAAGUUAGCGGCGGACGGGUGAGUAACACGUGGGUAACCUGCCCAUAAGACUGGGAUAACUCCGGGAAACCGGGGCUAAUACCGGAUAACAUUUUGAACCGCAUGGUUCGAAAUUGAAAGGCGGCUUCGGCUGUCACUUAUGGAUGGACCCGCGUCGCAUUAGCUAGUUGGUGAGGUAACGGCUCACCAAGGCAACGAUGCGUAGCCGGCCGGAGAGGGGGCACGGCCACACUGGGACAGAGACACGGCCCAGACUCCUACGGGGGGCAGCAGUAGGGAAUCUGCCGCAAUGGACGAAAGUCUGACGGCGCAACGCCGGGUGAGGGAUGAAGGCUUUCGGGUCGUAAAACUCUGUUGUUAGGGAAGAGCAAGUGCUAGUUGAAUAAGCUGGCACCUUGACGGUACCUAACCAGAAAGCCACGGCUAACUACGUGCCAGCCGCCGCAGUAA
rnacentral:rRNA from 1 species